GCUUAAUUUGACUCAACACGAGAAAACUUAACAGGUCCGAACAUAAGUGUGUAAGCCAGAUUGAAACCUCUUUCUCGAAUCUAUGGGUGGUGGUGGAUGUCUGUUCUUAGUUCGUGUAGUAUUUUGUCUGGUUAAUUCUGAUAACGAACGAGACUCAAAUAUAUUAAAUAUAUGCUUUCAGGAUUAUGGUGUUGAAGCUUUUGUAGCCUUCAUUCACGACCGCAGUAAAAUGUGUUAGUGUUUGAAUGUGUCUAUAAGAGUGGAGCCGUACCUGUUCUGGGUCUGGCAGUA
rnacentral:ncRNA from 1 species